GGGACUACGGGCGCCCGCCACCACGCCCGGCUAUUUUUGUUGUAUUUUUAGUAGAGACGGGGUUUCACCGUGUUAGCCUAGCUCUUCUCAAACUUCUGACCUCGUGACCCCCCCGCCUCAGCCUCCCGAAGUGCUGGGAUUACAAGCGUGAGCCACCGCCCCCGGCCAACACUCUUGACAACAGUGCUGUGCUAAGAACUUGGGGGACUUCAAAAAGUUCACCAGUUCCUGCGUCCAUGCAUUUUAAAAAGGUUGUACAUCUAGCAAUACCUAACAAAAUAGGAAAUCAACUUGGGCUACCUUAAUGAGCAGCCAGGAUGCCAUCAUCUCUGACCUGAAUGACAAUAACCUCCAAACCAGCCUUUGCAUACUCCUUCCUGCUGCUCUGCAGUCCACUUCCAUAGACCAGCCAACUGAAUCUCCUUAUAGGUGCUGGAAAAGGUCAAACAGAGAAAAUCAUCGUCAUAAAGCGAAGUGAUUUUCUUCUUUAUGAGCUCCUGAUGUAAACAGACUGAUGAGCACAACACAAUCCUUACUCACCCACAUGACAUCAUACACAAUCACAGCUAAAUGUUUCUAUCUGUCAAAGCCUGAAGAGUGACUACCAGAUUGUUGCCUGAUUGGUAUGUAACCCCAAAUGGUAUUUCCUUGGUAUCUAGUUGGUAGGGUGUAUUUUAUAAGAUU